AACGCGAAGAACCUUACCCAGGUUUGAAAUACAGAGGACAGCUCCAGAGAUGGAGUCUCCCGCAAGGGUCUUUGUACAGGUGCUGCAUGGCUGUCGUCAGCUCGUGCCGUGAGGUGUUGGGUUAAGUCCCGCAACGAGCGCAACCCUUAUCAUUAGUUGCCAACACGCGAGGUGGGAACUCUAAUGAGACUGCCCGGGUUAACCGGGAGGAAGGUGAGGAUGACGUCAAGUCCGCAUGGCCUUUAUACCUGGGGCUACACACGUUCUACAAUGGUCGGUACAGAAGGCAGCAAGACCGCAAGGUGGAGCAAAUCCCUAAAACCGAUCUCAGUUCGGAUUGUAGUCUGCAACUCGGCUACAUGAAGUUGGAAUUGCUAGUAAUGACGUGUCAGCAAUAACGUCGUGAAUACGUUCCCGGGCCUUGUACACACCGAGACGAC
rnacentral:rRNA from 1 species